rnacentral:rRNA from 1 species
CCCUUAGAUGUUCUGGGCCGCACGCGCGCUACACUGACUGCUCCAACAAGUUACCCGGGCUGACAAGCAUCCGGGAAAUCUUGCAAAGGCAGUCGUGAUGGGGAUAGAUUCUUGUAAUUUUUGAUCUUCAACGAGGAAUUCCUAGUAAACGCAAGUCAUCAGCUUGCAUUGAUUACGUCCCUGCCCUUUGUACACACCGCCCGUCGCAUCUACCGAUUGAAUGGAGAGGCAAAAUCUUCGGACCGUGACGCUUGGGAGUCAAAUCUCGGGCUGUCGUGGGAAGUGGAUUAAACCUUUCUAUUUAGAGGAAGGUAAAGUCGUAACA